UACGGGGGGGGCGAGCGUUGUCCGAAGUUACUGGGCGUAAAGCGCGUGUAGGCGGGUUGUUAAGUCCGCUGUGAAAGCCCGGUGCUCAACGCCGGAGGGUCGGUGGAUACUGGCAGUCUUGAAGUGGCUAGGGGGAAAUGGAAUUACCGGUGUAGCGGUGAAAUGCGUAGAUAUCGGUAGGAACACCAGUGGCGAAGGCGGUUUCCUGGAGCUAACUUGACGCUGAGACGCGAAAGCUGGGGGAGCAAACGGG
rnacentral:rRNA from 2 species